rnacentral:rRNA from 1 species
GUUGACCUCGAAUCAGGUAGGACUACCCGCUGAACUUAAGCAUAUCAAUAAGCGGAGGAAAAGAAACCAACAGGGAUUGCCCUAGUAACGGCGAGUGAAGCGGCAACAGCUCAAAUUUGAAAUCUGGCCCUCGGGUCCGAGUUGUAAUUUGUAGAGGAUGCUUUUGGUGAGGUGCCUUCCGAGUUCCCUGGGAACGGGACGCCAUAGAGGGUGAGAGCCCCGUCUGGUUGGACACCGAG